GGGUCCUGUAGUAUAGCAGUUGUCACGUUGCCCUUUCACGGCGAAGAUCGCGGAUUCAAUUCCCGUCGGACCCG
rnacentral:tRNA from 1 species